CGAAAUUGUACCCGGUGUCAUCUUAACUCAAAUGAAAUCUUCGAAAAGUGAAGUCGUACAAAGAGGUUGUAUACGAAGUUGUAUCGUUUGUGGCCGAAGAAUAAAACUUGACAAUCCUCCAGAUGCCAAGAAAGAAGUAUUGCUGCAUACCGUCACGUGGCACAAACACCCAAUGGAGGGUGUCAGCUUCCAUAGUAUAGUUCCAUGGAAGUUUAUUUUUAGAGAAAAUAUGGGAUAACAAAUACCGAAAACAAAUACAUCUGCUCCAAACAUUUUCAGUCAGAGUAUCUUAAAAAACAGAAAAGAGAGGCAUAACAUUGUGUAGGAACAUAAUGCCAAUUUUUCCGGAGGAUACUGUUCUGGAUUAAUGUCAAAGAAGGAGCCUUGCGGUUAACGCAAAAGAAAACAAUUUUAUUUAAAACACAGUAGCGCGCGUUUAUUUCGCAGUUUUUCGACUUCUCCUUUUGACUGCCAAAGACAAAUAACCCCGAAUAAUGGCAUUGCAAUUAUCAAAAGCCCUAUUCGGAAAUGUCAAAAGAGAGAAUAGAGGAAACUGUGAUAACUGUCAACAUUACAACAUUUCAACAGAAACAUGAUAAAUAAACACUCAUAAGGUGCCGUUCUGGAAAACCCCCGCCCCCGUGGAGCCGUCAGCUUCACCAUCUUCCAAGUCCAGGACGGCUAACUUUGAAACAGCUCGUUGGAGAACUCCUGUGGAGGUUUUGACAUCAGCUCGACGAACAACACCAUCUGUCCCAGUAUGUAGAUGAGUGACCAUUCCUCGCCGCCAUUGAUUACGUGGAAGAUUAGGAUCGCAAACAAACACAACAUCUCCUACUUCUAUUGGCUUCGUUCGUUCACACCACUUUACUCGCCUGGUUAAUGUUGGCAAAUAUUCAACAACCCAUCGCUUCCAGAAUCUGUCUCGCAAACUCCUAACAACUCGUCACUGCUUUUUCAGGCGGAAGAUUUGUUCAUCUGGAACAUUGGCUGCAGGUGUCUGAGGAAUGUUGUCUGUUCCAAGCAAAAAAUGGUUUGGAGUUAGAGGCUCCUCCUCAUGAGGGCUUAUGGGCACAUGAGUCAAUGGCCUAGAGU